CGGUAAUUCCAGCUCCAGUAGCGUAUAUUAAAGUUGUUGCAGUUAAAAAGCUCGUAGUUGGAUUUCUGGUACGCUGCGCCUGGCCCGCCCGCUUCGAGCGUGGUGUGUGCUGGAGCGCGGUUGCCAUCCUUCUAGAAAACGUUUCUACCCUUCGCUGGGCUGGAUUCGCAAUCUGGAUCGUUUACUUUGAAGAAAAUAGAGUGUUCAAAGCAGGCGUUUGCUAUGAAUACUUCAGCAUGGAAUAAUAAGAUAGGACUUUGGUUUUAUUUUGUUGGUUUCUAAAACUAAAGUAAUGAUUGAUAGGGACGGUUGGGGGUGCUAGUAUUUAACGGCCAGAGGUGAAAUUCUUGGAUUCGUUAAAGACUAACUUAGGCGAAAGCAUUCACCAAGGACGUUCUCUUUAAUCAAGAACGAAAGUUGGGGGAUCGAAGACGAUCAGAUACCGUCGUAGUCUCAACCAUAAACUAUGCCGACUAGGGAUCAGUAGGCGUCGUUAUUCGACCCUAUUGGGACCUUAUGAGAAAUCAAAGUUUUUGGGUUCCGGGGGGAGUAUGGUCGCAAGGCUGAAACUUAAAGGAAUUGACGGAAGGCACCACCAGGAGUGGAGCCUGCGGCUUAAUUUGACUCAACACGGGGAAACUUACCAGGUCAGGACAUAGUAAGGAUUGACAGAUUGAAGCUCUUUCUUGAUUCUAUGGGUGGUGGUGCAUGGCCGUUCUUAGUUGGUGGAGUGAUUUGUCUGGUUAAUUCCGUUAACGAACGAGACCUCGACCUGCUAAAUAGUUCGGCGAACCUGCGGGGGUUCGCGCGUGACUUCUUAGAGGGACUAUCGGUGUGUAGCCGAUGGAAGUUCGAGGCAAUAACAGGUCAGUCAUGCCCUUCGAUAACCUGGGCCGCACGCGCGCUACACUGAUGCGUUCAUCGAGUUUACAACCUUGACCGGCAGGUCUGGGUAAUCUUUUCAAAGCGAAUCGUGCUGGGGAUAGAUUAUUGUAAUUUUUAAUCUUAAACGAGGAAUUCCUAGUAAACGCAAGUCAUCAACUUGCAUUGAUUACGUCCCUGCCCUUUGUACACACCGCCCGUCGCUACUACCGAUUGAAUGGCUUAGUGAGCUGUGGGGACCGAGGCCUCUGUUGGGUUUCCUUCAGAACGCUUUGCGGAAGUAACGCAAACUUGGUCGUUUAGAGGAAGUAAAAGUCGUAACAAGGUAGCCGU
rnacentral:rRNA from 1 species